CUUAUUUUUUUAUUUUUAUUUUUUUAUUUCAUACCUUUUUUAAAACAGUUCACAGCAACAGGGUACUUUAAAUGAAAAUAAUAAUCUUACAAGCGAGCGAAAAAUUUGUUACUUAAAAAUUGACUACCGUGAUAUGUCCUCCGAAUAUGACCUCAAUGACAUUAUAAAAAAAAUAAGAAACACGUACAGUGUCGAUGACGACAAAAAGGAUCUUGAUAUAAAAGAAGACAAUAUGAAUAAUAUGAAAAAAGGCGUGCUUUAUAUGGCUUAUUAUGAAGAUAAUACCUUUUUUGUUAAUAAAUUAGAAAAAAAAAUAAGUAAAUAUAUGUAAAAGUUGUAUACUUAUAUGGAAAAACUUUUGGACGUGAAAAAAAAAGAAACAAUCAAACUAAUUUCAAAUGAUAUGAAAUUACAUAGAAAGUAUUAUGAAUGUAAAAACGAAUGAAUGACAAAAAGAGGAUAAGCUGUGAUCUAUGCAUUAAAAAAAAAAAAAAAAUAAAAAAAAAAAAAAAAAAAUAGUACGUAUAUAG
rnacentral:lncRNA from 1 species